GACGAACGCUGGCGGCGUGCUUAACACAUGCAAGUCGAACGGAAAGGCCCUGCUUUUGUGGGGUGCUCGAGUGGCGAACGGGUGAGUAACACGUGAGUAACCUGCCCUUGACUUUGGGAUAACUUCAGGAAACUGGGGCUAAUACCGGAUAGGAGCUCCUGCUGCAUGGUGGGGGUUGGAAAGUUUCGGCGGUUGGGGAUGGACUCGCGGCUUAUCAGCUUGUUGGUGGGGUAGUGGCUUACCAAGGCUUUGACGGGUAGCCGGCCUGAGAGGGUGACCGGCGUCAGUGGGACUGAGAGAGGGCCCAGCCGCGAGCGGGGGACAAUGGGGGGAAAGUUGACAAAGGGGGGGAACGCGGAAUGCGGCAACCCCCCGUGGGGAAUGCCGGCUUGCGGGUAAAAAACGGUUUGCGCCUGAGACAAAGGGGGAGGGACGGUAGGGGAAAAAAAAGCACCGGAUACCUACGUG
rnacentral:rRNA from 1 species